UACGGAGGAUGCAAGCGUUAUCCGGAAUGAUUGGGCGUAAAGCGUCCGCAGGUGGCUUUGUAAGUCUGCUGUUAAAGAGUGAGGCUCAACCUCAUAAAAGCAGUGGAAACUACAAGGCUUGAGUACGUUCGGGGCAGAGGGAAUUCCUGGUGUAGCGGUGAAAUGCGUAGAGAUCAGGAAGAACACCGGUGGCGAAAGCGCUCUGCUAGGCCGUAACUGACACUGAGGGACGAAAGCUAGGGGAG
rnacentral:rRNA from 1 species